rnacentral:lncRNA from 1 species
CAGAGAAUACAUUCAUAUAAACAACAUCUUCUACAACAAUUCAACCAAAACCUAAUUUUCAGAGAAUAAAAAAUUACAAAAACCAAAUAUUAGAAUUAGGGGUAGAUUAUAGCUUAACCCUUUGAUGUUAACAAGGUUCUAGCAAAUUCUUCUCAAUCCCACUCCUUCUCUAACUCUCAAUUCUCUGUAUUCUUUCUCUCUACCUCUCUGUUCUUCUUAG